UACGUAGGGUGCGAGCGUUGUCCGGAAUUACUGGGCGUAAAGAGCUCGUAGGCGGUUUGUCGCGUCGUCUGUGAAAUCCUCCAGCUUAACUGGGGGCGUGCAGGCGAUACGGGCAGACUUGAGUACUACAGGGGAGACUGGAAUUCCUGGUGUAGCGGUGAAAUGCGCAGAUAUCAGGAGGAACACCGGUGGCGAAGGCGGGUCUCUGGGUAGUAACUGACGCUGAGGAGCGAAAGCAUGGGUAGCGAACAGGAUUAGAUACCCCCGUA
rnacentral:rRNA from 1 species